GACGAACGCUGGCGGCGUGCCUAACACAUGCAAGUCGAGCGAUGAAGUUUCCUUCGGGAAACGGAUUGGCGGCGGACGGGUGAGUAACACGUGGAUAACCUGCCUCAUAGAGGGGAAUAGCCUCCCGAAAGGGAGAUUAAUACCGCAUAAUAUUACAGUUUCGCAUGAAACAGUAAUUAAAGGAGCAAUCCGCUAUGAGAUGGACCCGCGGCGCAUUAGCUAGUUGGUGAGGUAACGGCUCGCCAAGGCGACGAUGCGUAGCCGACCUGAGAGGGUGAUCGGCCACAUUGGGACUGAGACACGGCCCAGACUCCUACGGGAGGCAGCAGUGGGGAAUAUUGCACAAUGGGGGAAACCCUGAUGCAGCAACGCCGCGUGAGUGAUGACGGUCUUCGGAUUGUAAAGCUCUGUCUUUGGGGACGAUAAUGACGGUACCCAAGGAGGAAGCCACGGCUAACUACGUGCCAGCCGCCGCGGUAAAAC
rnacentral:rRNA from 1 species